AGCUGCAUGACUGGCGGAUAAUGGUGGGUAACCAUCGGGGAGUGCAGUGUGUUUUUGAUUUUUAAUAAGCCGACCGCCUGGGCAGCCU
rnacentral:ncRNA from 1 species